AGUAGAGUGGCGCAGCGGGAGCAUGCUGGGCUCAUAACCCAGAGGUUGAUGGAUUGAAACCAUCCUCUGCUA
rnacentral:tRNA from 1 species